rnacentral:rRNA from 1 species
AACGAACGCUGGCAGCGUGGAUUAGGCAUGCAAGUCGAACGGGAUCCGGAAGGUAGCAAUACCGGCCGGUGAGAGUGGCGGAAGGGCGAGGAGCACGUGGACAACCUGUCCCGUGGGUGGGGAUACCGUCCCGAAAGGGGCGUUAAUACCGAAUGGGGCCCCGGACCGCAUGGUCCGGCGGCCAAAGGCGGGGACCGCAAGGCCCGCCCCCCCGGGAGGGGUCCGCGCACCAUCAGCUAGACGGCGGGGUAACGGCCCACCGUGGCUUACGGUUAGCUGGUCUGAGAGGAGGACAGGCCGCACUGGGGCUGAGACACCGCCCAGACUCCUACGGGAGGCUGCAGUCGAGGAUCAUUCGCAAUGGGCGAGAGCCUGACGAUGUGACGCUGCGUGGAGGAUGAAGGCGCUCGGGUCGUAAACUCCUGUCAUGGGGGGCGAGGCGGAGGCGGUUAACGGGCGCCCGAGUUGACGGUACCCCAAGAGGAAGCCACGGCUAACUCGGUG